CAAAGAAUAGUUUAGCUGAAGAAUCCUAGCUUUGGGAGUUAGGGGCAAGAGUUGAAAUCUCUUUUCUUUGA
rnacentral:tRNA from 1 species